rnacentral:lncRNA from 1 species
AUGCCAGGCAGAGUGAGUAAUGCCGCAGUGCCUCUGGGAUGUGUCAGCAGGAGCUGGGUGCUGCACAAAGGGAAGCAAUGCCGCAACUAUUUCCUGCGACUGCAGGAGAACCCGCCUGCUCCUCUGGGUAAUUGCAAGCUGACGCCGCAGGCAGCCUGGCUUGCGUCAUCCCGGCAGAGCUGGGGACUUCUCAGCACAGGGAAGUGGCAUCCAGUUCCUGUGGGCAUGCCCAGCUGGCCCAACUUGAAAGGGACACAAGACACAGCUGAGAAGAGCCUUUUAUGGUCCCUGCCUUUCAGGAUCUUCCUGACACCCAUGAAGCUGAGAACUUUGCUCUUAAAAUGUGAAAGGAGAGUUGAGGGAAAGUCGAAGAUGCCUUUCAGAAUGCUGUGGGCUGUUUGGCAUGACUGCCUCUCCCUGUUCUUGGUGAGGGGCUGGAGACCCCUCAGAGCCCAGUUCGUCAGGAUAGCCCACGGAGACAGACUUUAAGAUAUUCAAAAUUACAUGAAAAUCGCAAAAAAAAAAUACAACCAAGCAAAACAAAACCAAACCAACCAACCAACAAACACAAAACAAAAAAUAACAAACCCUAAGGGCUGGAAACACUGCUGCCUUCAUUGCCCUUCCAAACACAAUGCCUAAAUUAAGCUGAUCUUUCAAAGCAUCUCUUGGCUUCCCUUGAGCAAGAACAGAUCAAGUACAGCAAGUACUGAUCAAUUCAAACAGUGUUUGGUCAACAUAUUUUUAGACCUACCGGCUUUUGAUGGUGUCUGAUAUAUUGAUUUGUAAAUAUCAGCCAGAAUCUCUUAAAACUCCAGCCACGUUAUUAAGUGUGCUUUAGGGCUCUCUCUUUAAGCCUGGUCUGUAGUAACCACAGUGUUGUUUAACUGAGACUGCAGUCACAAGCAAGGCACUGCAGCCACGCACCAGAAGCAGGUAACCAUAUGCUCAAAUGGAUAAUAAUGAUCAUUUUCCCCUCUCCUGAUUUCCAUAUGCAACAGAAGUAAUUAGCCAUGUAACUGUGCACUUCUGUGCCCAGCCAAGCAGUGCCGAAAGCCUUGGAGCAGACCCAGGCAGUCAGCUCUCAGACUCAAUCCGCUCCUCUUUCGAGGGACGAUGACUUCCUGCACAGAAUGACGUCCAGGGGAUGUUAUUUCUGGAUUCCCAAUACACCUCUUACGGAAACAAGACAAUCCCUUGGUAUCCUCUUGGUUUUACCAACAUAUUUAACACUCUUUAAUCUUCAUGGGAAAAAAUAUUCUCGUUAGAUGAAGAACUGUUUUUUCUGUCUUUCUUCAAGGAAUUCUUCCUCCAAAUGAAAUUCAUAAUGGAGCAAUUGAAUUCCCUCAAUUCAAAUUUAAAUGAUUUGUUGAAUAUUUUAUAGUGAUUUCUCACUCUGCUGCUCAGGCACAUCAGCACUCAGCCAAUGCUAAAAGAGUUUCAGUCAAUGUUAGAAGGGCUUCCUUUCCCUGAUUUCCCCAGUGCUGUC